UACAGAGACUGCGAGCGUUAUUCGGAUUCACUGGGCGUAAAGGGUGCGCAGGCGGCCAAGUGUGUGAGGCGUGAAAGCCCGGGGCUUAACCCCGGAAUUGCACCUCAAACUACAUGGCUAGAGCAUUGGAGAGGGUAGCUGAAUUCACGGUGUAGCAGUGAAAUGCGUAGAUAUCGUGAGGAAUACCAGAGGCGAAGGCGGCUACCUGGACAAUUGCUGACGCUCAGGCACGAAAGCGUGGGGAGCAAAAGGG
rnacentral:rRNA from 1 species